AGCUAAUACUGUACAAAUAAAAGUUUAAUAUAUGCACGUAGAAAUUAAAACAAAAGUAAGUUCGUAAGUGUGUUAAGACGUCCCAUAUUUAUUGAACAUGCCUUCAGUCAUUUUGAUAAAGCAUUGUUAGUCGCAUUUAUUAUUCAGCUUUUAUACCCUUUAUCAUAGCUUCAUGUCAGGUCUACACUCAUAUGUGCAAAUGUAUGUGUUUCAAUAAUGAUGUAUUUCUAUGUUCCUAUUGUGGUAAAGACAUUUAUUUAUAUUCUUGUUUCUUCUGAUUGUCGAGUUUAGACCUAUUUUAUAUAGUCUUGGUCAUUUAUUUUCUUGUUUCAUUUAUCCAUAUAGACAUAUAACCUAUAUUUAAUUCUAGGGUAUCAAGGCACAUGGGCUGAAAGUUUAUUAAUAUAAGAAAAGCUUUAGCAUAUGAAUACCUAGAAGACUAAUAACAAAUGUUGAGCAGUGUGGUGCAUAUGGCUGAGCAUGUGUAGGCUAACAUCUAGGUCAGUUAAAAUUUUGAAAAUUUAGACCUAAUAAAAAAGACUAAUUGUUGUGUAGAGGUCAGCUGGUUAUGAAAAUGGGUUGAUUUACUGAUGAACGCUUUUGGUAAGGUUAAUAGUGAGAAGGAUUUUAAUUCCAUAAUUUUUUGUUAGGAAGUGAAUUGUGUCAACUGAAUGUACUAUCAUAAUUGCCUAGCAUAAAUACCUGUUUACACUGG
rnacentral:lncRNA from 1 species